CUUCGGGCGUCGUGUUUCCACACAAUUUCUCGUUUUCCCAAUUUCCACUCGUGUUGAUAUAACUGUAUAUCAACACGGAAAAUGUUUUAUUUGUUAAAUAUAACGAAAAUAAUUUACAUUUAUUUUCUCACUCUGAUAACUGCAGGUUGAUCACCAUCUGCUGCACGAUAUAUAGUGCUUAGUCUUAAACCAGCUACAUUGUACAGUAUAAAGUAUAGAGUAUUGUUCGGAUUACUG